UUGGCAUAUUUUCUGGCACACAUCCGAUUCCAAAACAUUUCUAACAACUAUUCCGCCUGCUCCUUGGCCACCUCCCCGCCCGGUUGAUUCGCGGUGGGCUUGU